GACGAACCGGACGAACGUUAUUCGGAAUCACUGGGCUUAAAGAGUGCGUAGGCGGCCUGGUAGGUUGGGUGUGAAAUCCCUCGGCUCAACCGAGGAAUUGCGCUCAAAACCGCUAGGCUGGAGGGAGAUAGGGGUGAGCGGAACUGAUGGUGGAGCGGUGAAAUGCGUUGAUAUCAUCAGGAACACCGGUGGCGAAGGCGGCUCACUGGGUCUCUUCUGACGCUGAGGCACGAAAGCUAGGGGAGCGAACGGG
rnacentral:rRNA from 1 species